rnacentral:tRNA from 1 species
UGGGGUAUCGCCAAGUGGUAAGGCACCGGGUUUUGAUCCCGGCAUUCGUAGGUUCGAAUCCUGCUACCCCAGCCA